GGCUCUGUAGCUCAAUGGUAGAGCGCCCCGUUGUCUGCGGGUGAACGAGGGUUCGAUUCCUUCAGAGCCGCCA
rnacentral:tRNA from 1 species